rnacentral:rRNA from 1 species
UGAGUAUCACGUGGGUAACCUGCCUGUAAGCUUGGGAUAACUUCGGGAAACCGGUGCUAAUACCAAAUAACAUUUCUGUUCGCAUGAACGGAAAAUAAAAGGCGGCUUUUGCUGUCACUUACAGAUGGACCCGCGUCGCAUUAGCUAGUUGGUGGGGUAAAGGCUUACCAAAGCAACGAUGCGUAGCCGACCUGAGAGGGUGAUCGGCCACACUGGGACUGAGACACGGCCCAGACUCCUACGGGAGGCAGCAGUAGGGAAUCUUCCGCAAUGGACGAAAGUCUGACGGAGCAACGCCGCGUGAGUGAUGAAGGUUUUCGGAUCGUAAAACUCUGUUGUUAGGGAAGAAUAAGUACUAACCGAAUAAGUUGGUACCCUGACGGUACCUAACCAGAAAGCCCCGGCUAACUACGUGCCAGCAGCCGCGGUAAUACGUAGGGGGCAAGCGUUGUCCGGAAUUAUUGGGCGUAAAGGGCGCGCAGGCGGUUUCUUAAGUCUGAUGUGAA